rnacentral:rRNA from 1 species
GACGAACGCUGGCGGCGUGCUUAACACAUGCAAGUCGAACGGAAAGGCCCUGCUUGCAGGGUACUCGAGUGGCGAACGGGUGAGUAACACGUGGGUGAUCUGCCCUGCACUUCGGGAUAAGCCUGGGAAACUGGGUCUAAUACCGGAUAGGAGCCAUUUUUAGUGUGAUGGUUGGAAAGUUUUUUCGGUGUAGGAUGAGCUCGCGGCCUAUCAGCUUGUUGGUGGGGUAAUGGCCUACCAAGGCGGCGACGGGUAGCCGGCCUGAGAGGGUGGACGGCCACAUUGGGACUGAGAUACGGCCCAGACUCCUACGGGAGGCAGCAGUGGGGAAUAUUGCACAAUGGGCGCAAGCCUGAUGCAGCGACGCCGCGUGGGGGAUGACGGCCUUCAGGUUGUAAACUCCUUUCGCUAGGGACGAAGCUUUUUGUGACGGUACCCAGAUAAGAAGCACCGGCUAACUACGUG